UCUCCGAGCUCUGCCAUUUGAUGGUGAUGACAACUUGAAGCUUUUAGAUCCCACCUCUGUUGCAGUUGCAGCUGCAUUCAUCCUGCUGGUUCCUGGACUUGGUGGUGGAAUGCAAAAAGAGAUAUUUAAGCUGGCUUGUGUAUAUAGUAAGACAACGAAUUUGACUGCUUCUGUAUUAUCUGAACUCAAUCAAGAGCUAGGAGAAGUGCUAUUGUGGUGCUUCAAAAUCGUGCUACGACUAUCUGCUGUUAAAAGAACAUAUGGAGUGCCUGAAAGAAAGACUGGGGCAUAUAAUAAAAUUAUAAAUAUUCUUUCUUAAAAAAAAGAAGGUGAAAGAGAAAGAAUUAGAAAGAGAAAGAGGAGAUAAGAAGGAUAAAGAAAAAUUGGAAUAUUCUUCCAAAGACAAGAAGUAAAAAGAUGAAUGUACCACGACAAGGAAAGAAAGAUUUGUAGAGAA